AGUGGCGGACGGGUGAGUAACACGUAAGAAUUUGCCUUUAGGAGGGGGACAACAACUGGAAACGGUUGCUAAUACCCCAUAUGCUUUCGAGUAAAAUGGAUUUCCGCCUAAAGAGAAGCUUGCGGCUGAUUAGCUUGUUGGUAGGGUAAUGGCCUACCAAGGCGACGAUCAGUAUCUGGUUUGAGAGGACGAUCAGACACACUGGAACUGAGACACGGUCCAGACUCCUACGGGAGGCAGCAGUAGGGAAUUUUCCGCAAUGGGCGAAAGCCUGACGGAGCAAUACCGCGUGAGGGAUGAAUGCCUAUGGGUUGUAAACCUCUUUUUUCAGGGAGGAAUAAAUGACGUGUACCUGAAGAAUAAGCAUCGGCUAACUCCGUGCCAGCAGCCGCGGUAAGACGGAGGAUGCAAGUGUUAUCCGGAAUCACUGGGCGUAAAGCGUCUGUAGGUGGCUUAAUAAGUCAACUGUUAAAUCUUGAAGCUCAACUUCAAAAUCGCAGUCGAAACUAUUAGACUAGAGUAUAGUAGAGGUAAAGGGAAUUUCCAGUGGAGCGGUGAAAUGCGUAGAGAUUGGAAAGAACACCGAUGGCGAAGGCACUUUACUGGGCUAUUACUGACACUCAGAGACGAAAGCUAGGGUAGCAAAUGGGAUUAGAUACCCCAGUAGUCCUAGCCGUAAACAAUGGAUACUAGGUGUUGA
rnacentral:rRNA from 1 species